AGUGGAGCAAUCCAUGAGUACAGUGGCGACCGGGUGAGUAACACGUGACUAACCUACCCUCGAGUGGGGAAUAACUCCGGGAAACCGGAGCUAAUACCGCAUAACAUCGCAAGAUCAAAGCCGAAAGGCGCUUGAGGAGGGGGUCGCGGCUGAUUAGCUAGUUGGCGGGGUAAUGGCCCACCAAGGCGAAGAUCGGUAUCCGGCCUGAGAGGGCGCACGGACACACUGGAACUGAAACACGGUCCAGACUCCUACGGGAGGCAGCAGUGGGGAAUUUUGCGCAAUGGGGGAAACCCUGACGCAGCAACGCCGCGUGGAGGAUGAAGUCCCUUGGGAUGUAAACUCCUUUCGACCGGGAAGAUACUGACGGUACCGGAAGAAGAAGCACCGGCUAACUCUGUGCCAGCAGCCGCGGUAAUACAGAGGGUGCGAGCGUUGUUCGGAAUUAUUGGGCGUAAAGGGCGCGUAGGCGGUGCGGUAAGUCACCUGUGAAAUCUCCUGGCUCAACUGGGAGUCUGCAGGCGAAACUGCCGUGCUGGAGUAUGGGAGAGGUGCGUGGAAUUCCCGGUGUAGCGGUGAAAUGCGUAGAUAUCGGGAGGA
rnacentral:rRNA from 1 species